ensembl:lncRNA
GUUUCCGUUAGCAUAGCUUCCUUACUAAAGCAGGGGGAUACAGUAACAUGCAUGAAUCGGUUUCUAACCAACAAACCUUUACUGAUGUGAUUAUUGUGUGGUGCUACAAAGGAGUGUCUUCAUAAGUAAAUACAGCAACAAACAUCGCAAUCUUAGCAUAUGGACCUUAUACAGUGUUACGGCUGUGACCGUAAUUGUGUGUGGAUUUGAGUGUCUAGGUGCUCCUCCGGGAUUGACGAUUUGGCGUUGGUAAUUUGUCAUGGUCGCGAUCUUUUUCCCCCCCCGUUGUAAAUAGUUUGGCGCCUUGCGUUGUAAAUAAAUAUCAUUUUGCUUUAAAGAAAAUAGUGGUCGUUUUGGGAUGAUUUUUGUGGAAACCCGUAUUAGUUUUUUCUCGUGUGUUUUUUUUACCUUAUUUUUAUUUUCCUUAUUUUUAUUUUCCUUAUCUUUGUUUUUCUACGUUGCACCCCGGUUGCCUAGGCCGGGGUGUAACAUAUGGGGGCUCGUCCAAUCACUGUGGGGUCCGAGGACCGCUUCAGCCUCCGUCUGUCUUCGCUGGAGGGUCCGUGGGACCGCUCCAGCCUUCGUCCGCCUUCGCUGGAGGGUCCGUGGGACCACUCCAGCCUUCGUCGUCUGCUGGAGGGUCAGGGGGACCGCUCCAGCCUCCAUCAGUUUCAUCUGCCUCCGCUGGAGGGUCCGUGGGACCGCUUCAGUCUUCGUUUGCCUUCGCUGGGGGGUCCGAGGGACCGCCUCAGCCUUCGUCGUCUGCUGGAGGGUCCGUGGGACCGCUCCAGCCUUCAUCCACCUUCGCUGGAGGAUCCGAGGGACCGCUCCAGCCUUCAUCAGCUUCGUUUGUCUUCGCUGGAGGGUCCGAGGCACCGCUCCAGCCUUCGUCUGCCUUCGCUGGAGGGUCCGUGGGACCGCUCCAGACUUCAUCCGUCUUCGCUGGAGGGUCCGUGGGACCGCUCCAGCCUCCACCAGCCUUCAUCCGCCUUCGCUGGAGUGUCCAAGGGACCGCUCCAGCCUUCAUCAGCUUCGUUUGUCUUCGCUGGAGGAUCCGAGGGCCCG